CCUACGGGGGGCAGCAGUGAGGAAUAUUGGUCAAUGGGCUUACGCCUGAACCAGCCAAGUCGCGUGAGGGAAGACUGCCCUAUGGGUUGUAAACCUCUUUUGUCAGGGAGCAAAGGGCGCCACGUGUGGCGUUUUGCGAGUACCUGAAGAAAAAGCAUCGGCUAACUCCGUGCCAGCAGCCGCGGUAAUACGGAGGAUGCGAGCGUUAUCCGGAUUUAUUGGGUUUAAAGGGUGCGCAGGCGGAAUGUCAAGUCAGCGGUAAAAUUUCGGGGUUCAACCCCGUCGUGCCGUUGAAACUGGCGUUCUUGAGUGAGCGAGAGGUAUGCGGAAUGCGUGGUGUAGCGGUGAAAUGCAUAGAUAUCACGAAGAACUCCGAUUGCGAAGGCAGCAUACCGGCGCUCAACUGACGCUCAUGCACGAAAGCGUGGGUAUCGAACAGGAUUAGAUACCCGAGUAGUC
rnacentral:rRNA from 1 species